rnacentral:rRNA from 1 species
AGAGUUUGAUCAUGGCUCAGAUUGAACGCUGGCGGCAUGCCUUACACAUGCAAGUCGAACGGUAACAGGUCUUCGGACGCUGACGAGUGGCGAACGGGUGAGUAAUACAUCGGAACGUGCCCAGUCGUGGGGGAUAACUACUCGAAAGAGUAGCUAAUACCGCAUACGAUCUGAGGAUGAAAGCGGGGGACCUUCGGGCCUCGCGCGAUUGGAGCGGCCGAUGGCAGAUUAGGUAGUUGGUGGGAUAAAAGCUUACCAAGCCGACGAUCUGUAGCUGGUCUGAGAGGACGACCAGCCACACUGGGACUGAGACACGGCCCAGACUCCUACGGGAGGCAGCAGUGGGGAAUUUUGGACAAUGGGCGAAAGCCUGAUCCAGCAAUGCCGCGUGCAGGAUGAAGGCCUUCGGGUUGUAAACUGCUUUUGUACGGAACGAAAAAGCUUCUCCUAAUACGAGAGGCCCAUGACGGUACCGUAAGAAUAAGCACCGGCUAACUACGUGCCAGCAGCCGCGGUAAUACGUAGGGUGCGAGCGUUAAUCGGAAUUACUGGGCGUAAAGCGUGCGCAGGCGGUUAUGUAAGACAGAUGUGAAAU